rnacentral:rRNA from 1 species
CCCUUAGAUGUUCUGGGCCGCACGCGCGCUACACUGACAGAGCCAGCGAGUUUUUUUUCCUUGGCUGAAAAGUCAUGGGUAAUCUUGUGAAACUCUGUCGUGCUGGGGAUAGAGCAUUGCAAUUAUUGCUCUUCAACGAGGAAUUCCUAGUAAGCGUAAGUCAUCAGCUUGCGUUGAUUACGUCCCUGCCCUUUGUACACACCGCCCGUCGCACCUACCGAUUGAAUGGUCCGGUGAAGCCUCGGGAUUGUGGCCAGUUCACUUUAUUGGGAGUUGGCUGCGAGAACUUGUCUAAACCUUAUCAUUUAGAGGAAGGUGAAGUCGUAACA